rnacentral:tRNA from 1 species
UGGCUCAGAGGGUAGAGCGUCUGCCUGCAAUGCAGGAGACCUGGGUUUGAUCCCUG